CAGGGAAUUUCUCCUGCUCUCUCCCUCUGGGUGAAGCCUCAGCCCAUGGCUCCUCCACAGCCACACCCCCUGCUGCACGAUCCCUCCCUCUGAGGUCCCAGCUUCCUAUGGUCAGCCUGCCACGCCUCCACCCCCAACCUCUUGGCCCAGAUCCUUGGCUCCAGGAAAUCACUUCCGCCUGGGUCUUACCAACCCUAGGGGUGGUUGUGGCUUCCUGUGUUUCUUGCUGCAUUUUCCCCUUUUGGACUCUGUUCUAUCUGGGUAACCAACAAGUUUACUCUGAAAUACCCAGAGUAGUCUCUGUUUUCCUGACUGGGCCUUGUCUGUUACACAGCUUCAUGAGUGGCUCUCCGGCAGAAGCCCAUAUUAGCCCAGGGGCCAGUGUGGGCAAAGGGGUCCCCACACCCCUGGCUGACUGGGGAACAUGGGGAUCCCAGCACAAGCCUAAAUGCUUGGCUACCUCUGAUGCAAUCUGCUCAGUCAAGAACCAAGCUGCUGUCCUCGCUCAAACCCGGAGCAGCUGGCCAGGACGCUCAGCUUUCCCAGCAGGUGGGGCCCCUCGUGGCAGGCACUCCACAGGUGCAGACGAGAAAUCAAAGAGAAUCUACAAGCACCCUUCCCAUGGUGUGCUUCUAUGCUGUGGUAUCAAGCUGUGGUGACACAGGUGAUGUGGACCCAGGAAGAGGAGCCAUCCUGGGGAUAAAGCCUUCGUCACAGAAGGCAAAGCAGAGAAACCCUCAUGACACUGGACUCACUAAAUGAAACCCACGCUGGCACCCACCCUGCCUCUGGUCUUUCAAUCACAUAAGCCAG
rnacentral:lncRNA from 13 species